AGAGUUUGAUCCUGGCUCAGGAUGAACGCUAGCGGCAGGCUUCAUACAUGCAAGUCGGGGGGCAGCAUAAAUUACUUGUAAUUUGAUGGCGACCGGCGAACGGGUGCGUAACGCGUAUGCAACUUACCUUUUACUAGAGAAUAGCCAAGAGAAAUUUUGAUUAAUGCUCUAUGUUCUUAUUUACUCGCAUGAGUAAAUAAGCAAAGCUCCGGCGGUAAAAGAUGGGCAUGCGUCCUAUUAGCUCGUAGGUGAGGUAAUGGCUCACCUAAGCUCCGAUAGGUAGGGGUCCUGAGAGGGAGAUCCCCCACACUGGUACUGAGACACGGACCAGACUUCUACGGAAGGCAGCAGUAAGGAAUAUUGGACAAUGGAGGCAACUCUGAUCCAGCCAUGCCGCGUGAAGGAAGACGGCCUUAUGGGUUGUAAACUUCUUUUAUACAGGAAGAAACCUUUCCACGUGUGGAAAGUUGACGGUACUGUAAGAAUAAGGAUCGGCUAACUCCGUGCCAGCAGCCGCGGUAAUACGGAGGAUCCAAGCGUUAUCCGGAAUUAUUGGGUUUAAAGGGUCCGCAGGCUGUUUGUUAAGUCAGAGGUGAAAUCCUACCGCUCAACGGUAGAACUGCCUUUGAUACUGGCAAACUUGAGUUAUUGUGAGGUAGUUAGAAUGUGUAGUGUAGCGGUGAAAUGCAUAGAUAUUACACAGAAUACCGAUUGCGAAAGCAGAUUACUAACAAUAUACUGACGCUGAGGGACGAAAGCGUGGGUAGCGAACAGGAUUAGAUACCCUGGUAGUCCACGCCGUAAACGAUGGUCACUAGCUGUUCGACGUACAUUGGUACGUUGAGUGGCUAAGCGAAAGUGAUAAGUGACCCACCUGGGGAGUACGCUCGCAAGAGUGAAACUCAAGGAAUUUGACGG
rnacentral:rRNA from 1 species